UUCCAGACUCCUACGGGAGGCAGCAGUGGGGAAUAUUGCACAAUGGGGGAAACCCUGAUGCAGCGACGCCGCGUGAGCGAUGAAGUAUUUCGGUAUGUAAAGCCCUAUCGGCAGGGAAGAAUUUAGACGGUACCUGACUAAGAAGCCCCGGCUAACUACGUGCCAGCAGCCGCGGUAAUACGUAGGGGGCAAGCGUUAUCCGGAUUCACUGGGUGUAAAGGGAGCGUAGACGGCCAUGCAAGCCUGGAGUGAAAGCCCGGGGCCCAACCCCGGGACUGCUCUGGGAACUGUGCGGCUGGAGUGCGGGAGGGGCAGGCGGAAUUCCUGGUGUAGCGGUGAAAUGCGUAGAUAUCAGGAGGAACACCGGCGGCGAAGGCGGCCUGCUGGACCGCGACUGACGUUGAGGCUCGAAAGCGUGGGGAGCAAACAGGAUUAGAUACCCUCGUA
rnacentral:rRNA from 1 species